AUGCAAGUCGAGCGAAUGGAUUAAGAGCUUGCUCUUAUGAAGUUAGCGGCGGACGGGUGAGUAACACGUGGGUAACCUGCCCAUAAGACUGGGAUAACUCCGGGAAACCGGGGCUAAUACCGGAUAAUAUUUUGAACUGCAUGGUUCGAAAUUGAAAGGCGGCUUCGGCUGUCACUUAUGGAUGGACCCGCGUCGCAUUAGCUAGUUGGUGAGGUAACGGCUCACCAAGGCAACGAUGCGUAGCCGACCUGAGAGGGUGAUCGGCCACACUGGGACUGAGACACGGCCCAGACUCCUACGGGAGGCAGCAGUAGGGAAUCUUCCGCAAUGGACGAAAGUCUGACGGAGCAACGCCGCGUGAGUGAUGAAGGCUUUCGGGUCGUAAAACUCUGUUGUUAGGGAAGAACAAGUGCUAGUUGAAUAAGCUGGCACCUUGACGGUACCUAACCAGAAAGCCACGGCUAACUACGUGCCAGCAGCCGCGGUAAUACGUAGGUGGCAAGCGUUAUCCGGAAUUAUUGGGCGUAAAGCGCGCGCAGGUGGUUUCUUAAGUCUGAUGUGAAAGCCCACGGCUCAACCGUGGAGGGUCAUUGGAAACUGGGAGACUUGAGUGCAGAAGAGGAAAGUGGAAUUCCAUGUGUAGCGGUGAAAUGCGUAGAGAUAUGGAGGAACACCAGUGGCGAAGGCGACUUUCUGGUCUGUAACUGACACUGAGGCGCGAAAGCGUGGGGGAGCAAACAGGAUUAGAUACCCUGGUAGUCCACGCCGUAAACGAUGAGUGCUAAGUGUUAGAGGGUUUCCGCCCUUUAGUGCUGAAGUUAACGCAUUAAGCACUCCGCCUGGGGAGUACGGCCGCAAGGCUGAAACUCAAGGAAUUGACGGGGGCCCGCACAAGCGGUGG
rnacentral:rRNA from 1 species